AAGAGUCCCUUCCUAACUGACUGAAGACAUGUAAAUGACCCAGUGCAUCCCUGGGAGUGCCAACUGGCGGAAGUGGCGGUGACAUCAUGCGCCCAUCCGGCUCCAAGCCUUCCAGCAGCCUGAGGUCAGCUCAGAGAGCCAUGGCACCUCCCCCAGCAGCCACACGCUGAGCCAAGUGGAGCCUGGCACUGCCAGGGCUGGGGCUGGGCUGCCAGCUCGGAUUCCAUGAGUCCUUCCUUCCUCACAUACCCGGCUCUGUGAUGGCUUCUCCUCCCGGCUCCUCCUCCUCCUCCUCCUCCAUUGCGUCUCUGAACAGCACUCCCCGACAAACGUGAGAUUGCUGCUUCUCAUAUAACACAUGAGCUGUGGUGUGAACUUCUGGUAAAUGAAGAUCUUAUUUAAACUGCAUGCUAUCAGGGGAGGAGAAGAGACAGGUUCCAACAUAGCUCAGCUGGCUUGCCAGAAAAAAAUGGAGGUGCUGGGGGGUGCCGGAGGUGCUGGGGCCCAGAGCCAUCAGUGUUUCUGAGAAGUGCUUCCAGAGGGGCAACGGGGCCCUGGACAGCAGUUUGCAAUUUAUCUGGGAGGGACAGACAGGGUACCACUUUCCAAGGAGGGUUUGGCAAGGAGGUUACCCCUCCGGGGAACUGUUUGCCACGUGGAACAAAAUAGCCCGAGGUCAUAAGGCAUCCCCAAAAGGUAGGACUUGGAUGGGAUGGAGAGCACAGAGUGUAUCUGAUUCCAGCCCUCCGCCUUCUUUGCACAAUAGAACCACAAAAGAGCUCUGACAGAUCCCAGCUCCCAGGUCCAAGCCUACAGCCACAGAAGUCAGAACCUCGGGGUGGAUCUGGGUGCCCCAGGAUCCCACGGUUUCAGCUAAGGUUGGAGAAUCCCAGAACUAGACUCUCCCCCGGGGUCUUGCCAAGUCCCGUUGUCUGCAAAUGCAGGUGGAGAGAGCCAGGUGUGUGAACUCAGGGUAAACUCUAGCUGAUGCUGCCAUACGACACAGAAUUCACUUAAGCAAGCAUCUGCUCACGGAGGCCCACUCGGGGUGGGACACUGGUCUGAGCAUUGGGAUACAUCCCUGAGGGACACAGCCCUGCCCUUGUGGAGUGAGAGAGAAGCCAGGGGCCUGAUAAGGCAGGGAACUUCUGGGUGCACACACAUGAUAACUCCAGAUGGUGGCAAGUACUGACAGGUGGUUACGACGGAGCCUUCUAAGAGGGGACACCUGAGCUGACACAUGACAAAAAAAAAAAAAAGAGUCAUUUAGGUCAAACCUGGGGUUCCCAUACUCCACACCGGGGCAGGUUUCCUCACGUGAAAACAAGGGCUCUUCUCCAUGAGCUAUGGAACCCACGCUCCCGUCAACAGCGAUCACAUUCACAGGGUGGCCCAUGGUGGUGCCCUGCCAUGUUCAAAUGGCACCUAGCUGGACAGGAAAUGCUGGAGGCCAGUGGGCAUGACAGUUGUCCUCUCUACCCCUCAGGAAAUUCUACAGGCUACUGGGGUAUGGAGACAUUAGAAAACGUUGGACUGAGAGAAGGAAGGGGUUGGAGUCUACUAAGCUAACCCUCCAUCUAACAGGUCUAUUUGAAAGCAGGCUACGUUAAACCUGCAUCUCAGAUGAGAAAACUGGACAAAGAGCAGCCAACUGUCAACUGGAGGGUCCUGGGGAUCCAGAACCCCCAAGAAAAAAUGCACGCUUUGUCUGAGAUUUAGGAUAAUUUACAAAUGCUUUGCAUCUGACUCAAGGUGGACUGAGGCAGCUGGAGGGUCUGUUAUCUGUGUGUCACACUGAGACUUGGCCUUUGAGCCAAAGCUCCCAAGCUCCUGGAAAUUCUUCAGAUAACACAGGCUCUCUCACUGAUAACCUCUGGAACCUACAAGUCACUUCAUGAGGCCAACCUGAGCCUUAUCCAAAAUGGCUGCAAAGAAUCUCAGAACUCCCUAGGAUGACCCGUUCCACCUUAGGUCUAAUACAGCCUGUCAAGCAGCACUUUCUAGGAAGAAGAAAGGUGAGCAGAGAGUUAUGGGUAGGCUCCCUCCCUUCAAUGGUCCAGUCUAUUCCAUUCCAUCUUCCCAAAGACUACCAGGUCCGCCACUUUCAGACAGGAGAGCCCCAGGCUCAGGGAAUUGCACUUAAGAGAUGCAGCCAACAGUUGCCUUUAGCCUGCUGGCUAUGGGUGGGAUAGGACCUCUGUUGGUCUUUUCUGUGUCAAACACACAGAUUGCAAGCCCAGUGCCAC